rnacentral:lncRNA from 1 species
UUUUUUUUUGAGAGAUAGACUACAAUAUGAUGAGAUUGAGACUAUCCGUUUCGUUUAUUUCAUUUAGAAAUAAAUUUAGCUGGAAAUGUGAAUCAAUUAGAAUUCGAAUUUGGGACCUCCAGUACCGACCACAAAGCCCUUUACUACUUGUUCUAGAAACGGUCGGUGUCCCGCAUUUAAAAUGUCAGAACUUAAUUAGGCUCAAUCCAGGACUACAUGUUAGAUUAAUUACAAUCUACAAUAAGGGCUUGUUUGGUUCAUCCAUUUUGGAUAUAGAAUGAGAAUCGGUUUGAUCAAAUCCGGGUAAUUUUGUUUGGUUCGCAUGAAUCGGUUUGGGAUUCCUAUUUCGGACUGGAAUGGAAAUGGCCCAUUAGCCUUCAACUUGAUUCCGGUCUUCUAGCCCUGAUUGAGAUUUCAGUCCAGAAGUCCACUAAGUUCUCGAAGCCCAUGUGACCAUUUCACCCUCCUUCUCUUCACUCCUUUCUCAUCAAAAAAAAAAAAAAAAAUCUAUCCUCUCUCAAAGUCUUAUCCCUAACCCACAUCAAUAAAAGUUUUUAAAAAUAAAUUUGAUAUUUUUUUUGAAAAACUUAUUAGAGAAUAGUAUUAUAUUUUUCAUAAAUUUUAAAUAAUAUAAAUUUAUAUUUGAGACUAAAAUUAAUAUUAUAGUAUCCUAUAAAUUUUUUAGUUUAUACGAAUCAAACAAUAAAAUGUGAAUAACUCAUUCCAAUUCCCAAUCCACAAAUAAACCAAACGUUUUGGGGGAGUGGGUCAUUCCAAUUACCAUUCCAAUUCAUUCACAUUUCAUUAUCCAUUCCAAUUCCACCCUCGAACCAAACAAGCAAUAGUAAUUCCACAAUACUCUCAUUUCAAAAAUUAGUUCAAAUUUCAGAUAUUUUUUGGACCAAGAGUUGUAAAUUUUUUUUUUUUUUGGAUAAAUAGUAAUAGUAACUAUUUAUUCAAAUUUCAGAUAAAAAGUAAUACUUAUUAGCGCACGUAUCUAAUAACCAAUAUUUAUAUUGAUUAAUUAAUUGAUAUUUUGACUAAUUUAAUUAUCUGAUUAUUAUUAACUAAUUAAUUUAUUAAAUUACUUGCAAUUAUUUAAAUUAUUAAUUACUAAUUAAUUUAUUAAUUAACAUUUAGGGAUUAUUUAGCAAUAUUCAUUAAUGAUUAAUUAGUGAAUUAAGUAAGUUGAAUUAUUAUUUAAUCAAUAUUUUUCUAUUAAUUAAUUAGAUAAAAUAUUAUUAUUAUUAUAUUAAAAAUAUAGUUAUUCUUAUCUUUACUAUUCCAAUCUACCAAUCCAAACAUUAUUUUAUUUACUCCCCAAAAAAACACAAUUUUCAUCUUAACCCAAAAUUAAUUUUAUCCCUACUUAUUCUAAAAAUUAUAUCUAUCUCAAAAUUAAUCUAAAAUAGCUUAUUUUCGAACCAAAAGGCAAGUACCUUAUAGCAUAUUUCCAUCUAAAUUUAAGGGGCAAUUGUUUAUAGGGAUAAUUGCCUAUAUACCCCUCAUACGUUUGAAAAUAUCCAAUUUACCCAUAUUUUUUUUUUCUUUCUAAAAUACCCUUCAUAUGUUUCACCGUUAUUACAAAAUACUCCCGCAGUUAUCUCCUGUUAAGUUAACUUGGGUUAAACAUGAGUUAAACAUCUAUCACAGUUAAAAAAAAAUUAAAAUACCAAUUUCGCCCUUAACUUAAGGGCAAAUAAGAAAUAUUGGUGACGUUAGAGGGGUAUAUUGGAAAAGAUCAAAAGUCAAAAUGCUUUUUGUGCCCCUGACUUUAAGGGCAAAUAAGAAAGUCAGUGAUGAUGGAAGGGUAUAUUUGAAAGGACAAAAUAGUAAUUUUACAGAGUUAAUAGAGUUAAUUAACCGAUUUUAACUCUAGAGGUAUAUUGAAAAUAUGUUGGAAUGUAAAGAGGGUAUUUUCAAUAUUACCCUUUUAAGAGGAGUAAAUCGAAAAGUCGAAAACUUUUCAAGGGUAUAUAAGCAAUUGGCCCUUGUUUAUAUACCUCUGAAAAGUUUCCGAUUUUAUAAUUACCCUUCUUAGAAGGCUAAUAUUAAAAAUACCCUUUUUACGUUUCAACCUAUUUCAAAUAUACCCCUAUUAGAGUUAAAGUCUGUUAAUAAACUCCGUUAUCUUUAUGAAAUUACUAUUUUGCCCUUUCAAAUAUAACUUUCUACCGGCACCGAUUUUUCUUAUUUGUCCUUAAGUUAGGGAAAUAAAAAGUAUUUUGCUUUUUGGUCUUUUCAAAUAUACCAUUCUACUAUCACCAAUAUUUUUUAUUUUUCCUUAAGUUAAGGGCAAAACUAUCAUUUUAAUUUUUUUUUAACUGUGGUAGAUAUUUAACUCACGUUUAACCCAAGUUAACUUAACGGGUGAUAACUGUAGAGGUAUUUUGGAAUAAUGCAGAAAUAUAUGAGGAGUAUAUUGAAAAAUAUAUAUAUAAAUAAAUAAGAUAUUUUCAAAAUUUUGGGGGGUAUAUAAGUAAUUAUCCCUAAAUUUAAUUAACACCAUCCAACCCUCAUAAAUUUCCGCCUC